rfam:Calypte anna contig56631, whole genome shotgun sequence.
GCAGGGGCUGCUGGUGGCUGGGGACAGCCCAUGGUGGAGGUUGG